rnacentral:rRNA from 1 species
AGAGUUUGAUCAUGGCUCAGGACGAACGCUGGCGGCGCGCUUAACACAUGCAAGUCGAGCGAGAACCAGGACUUCGGUCCUGGGGACAGCGGCGAACGGGUGAGUAACACGUGGAUAACCUGCCCUCGGCACCGGGAUAGCCCGGGGAAACUCGGAUUAAUACCGGAUGGCCCCUCCGGCUUUCGAGCCGGUCGGAAAAGGUAGCUUCGGCCUCCGGCCGAGGAUGGGUCCGCGGCGGAUUAGCUUGUUGGUGGGGUAACGGCCUACCAAGGCUUCGAUCCGUAGCUGGUCUGAGAGGACGAUCAGCCACACUGGGACUGAGACACGGCCCAGACUCCUACGGGAGGCAGCAGUGGGGAAUCUUGCGCAAUGGGCGAAAGCCUGACGCAGCGACGCCGCGUGAGGGAGGAAGGCCUUCGGGUUGUAAACCUCUUUCAGGAGGGACGAAGCUACUCGGGUGAAUAGCCCAGAGGGUGACGGUACCUCCAGAAGAAGCCCCGGCUAACUACGUGCCAGCAGCCGCGGUA